rnacentral:rRNA from 1 species
GACGAACGCUGGCGGCGUGCCUAAUACAUGCAAGUAGAACGCUGAAGCGAGGAGCUUGCUCCUCUUGGCUGAGUUGCGAACGGGUGAGUAACGCGUAGGUAACCUGCCUUGUAGCGGGGGAUAACUAUUGGAAACGAUAGCUAAUACCGCAUAACAAUGGAUGACACAUGUCAUUUAUUUGAAAGGGGCAAUUGCUCCACUACAAGAUGGACCUGCGUUGUAUUAGCUAGUAGGUGAGGUAAUGGCUCACCUAGGCGACGAUACAUAGCCGACCUGAGAGGGUGAUCGGCCACACUGGGACUGAGACACGGCCCAGACUCCUACGGGAGGCAGCAGUAGGGAAUCUUCGGCAAUGGGGGCAACCCUGACCGAGCAACGCCGCGUGAGUGAAGAAGGUUUUCGGAUCGUAAAGUUCUGUUGUAAGUCAAGAACGGGUGUGAGAGUGGAAAGUUCACACUGUGACGGUAGCUUACCAGAAAGGGACGGCUAACUACGUG